rnacentral:misc_RNA from 1 species
UCUCGCCGUCCUCGAAGCGCUGUGGCUAUGGACCGGCCGCGAAGUCUUCAUCAACCUUUUCAAUUAUUGGCUGAAAAUUUUCGCCGUCGCCUUCGGCAUGGGCGUCGUCUCCGGCAUCGNNNNNNNNNNCGGCACCAACUGGGCGGUGUUCUCGGACAAGACCGGACCGAUCAUCGGCCCGCUGAUGGCUUACGAGGUGCUGACCGCCUUCUUUCUUGAAGCGGGCUUUCUCGGCGUCAUGCUGUUCGGGCUCAACCGUGUCGGCCA